rnacentral:rRNA from 1 species
UUGAAAGGGAAACGAUUGAAGUCAGUCGUACCUAUGGGUAAUCAGCCUUUUGGGUGUGAUUUUGUGGAGCGUGGAGAGUUAAACGCCUUCAUGCCUGCAUAUUCGUGCACUUUGGGUGUACUUGCCCGUGUGUAAGUUAACAUCAAUUUUGGUGGUCAUAAAAUGGCUGGAGGAAUGUAGCUUCGAUCUUGUAUUGAAGUGUUAUAGCCUUCGGUAGAUGUGACGAUCGGGAUUGAGGAUUGCAACGGAUACCCUUCGGGGCUACCUAUCUGAUCUCUGAUCGUUGCUCUGGUGCCGAAAGCUUGCUUACGGUUAUUAAAGUCGAUGGUCAAUAGGUUAGAAUGGGUUAAAUUCGUUAAGGAUGUUGACGUA